AUGCGUAUGUGUUUGCCGUGCUGCAUCCUCUCAUCGAUGGUGAGUGGAUGCUGCUGCAGGCGGAAAAGAGUUGAUGCCUCUUCACCGCUGCCCUGUUCCUUUUUCUCUCUGCCUGACGUGUCGCACUUGCCGGCCGUGAUCGCUGCAAGAUACUCCUCCGUUCAGAAAUAUUUGUCAUCAAAAUGGAUAAAAGAAGAUGUAUCUACACGCAUUUUAGUUUUAGAUAUAUUCUUUUUUAUUCAUUUUAAGAAAUUUUUCUCAUCAAAAUGGAUAAAAAAAGAUGUAUUUAGACGUAUUUUAGUUCUAGAUAUAUUUCUUUUUAUUUAUUUUGAUAACAAGUAUUUUUUGGACGGAGGGAGUACUGCUCAGUCGGUGCUUCACCGUUGGCUUUGCUGCGCCGGCUAUCCAGUAGAACGCAGUACAUGGAAAGGAGUUUAUACAGUAGUAACUUCUUUUCCUCCCAUGUUAAGAUGGAAGCUGUUGAAGCACGUUGUGGCCUCAGCAGCUAGAAAUGCUCAAGUGCGUAGAAGACAGCGAUUUAACGAGCAUAAAAGAAAGUAA
rnacentral:rRNA from 1 species